AACAAAUACAAAUGGAGAGGGAAGAGCCGAAAGAGAAUGAGAGCGCACAUUCAUGUUUCCAGCCGGAGUGGCGACUCCGACUUCCGUUCUCUUCGUUAACCUUUUCAUGCACCGGUUACAGGUUUACAGCAUAUAAAAGAAGACCCAUGAAUCUGUUGAUCUGCAACAUUAGAAGGUGUCAUAAUUGUCUCCCCCAAAAUGUUAUAUAAAUUCAAACAGAGGACUCCUUCCAAUAUCCAGACAGUUAGGCUGGCGGUAAAGCCCUAACAUUUCUCUUUCACUGUGAGAUCGACUAUAGAAUUGAUCAACGCCAUGAAUGUUCACCGAUCUAUGCUUCGACUACAGAUUACUUGUAGCCAAGUACGAAUUAAGGCAAAACCUUUACAAAGCCCUUUGUAGAGAUCCAGAACUUCCAAGCCAUGUUAAAGAGAGACAUCGAAUCAAGUUGUCUAAGUUACCGAGAAACAGAUGCAUAUUCACAGGUAGGCCACGUGCAGUUUACGAGAAAUUCAGAAUGUCUAGGAUUGUGUUUCGCGAAUUAGCCUCCCGUGGUGAGCUGAUGGGCGUCAAGAAAGCAUCUUAUUGGUAGAGCAUUGUUAUCUAUAAGUUGAGGUUUUGCUUCAAGAAAAUUGAUGAUGCCUUAAUUCAAUCUGGAAGGCCUUGUUUUUGUUAACUGUUAGUGUUUGUUUAUUUGUUGUUCAAUGUCUUAGGCCUUGUUAAUCUUAGAUUAUCUAUAUAACACUAUUA